rnacentral:lncRNA from 1 species
AAAUUAAUUCAGUAUUAACUUAAAAGUGCAAAUGCAGUUGUUUCCAUUAAUUUUUACAGACUCUUCCGCAGAAAAGGGCAAGGGAAGAUGUAGAAAGGAAGAUGGAAGCAAUAGGAAAAAGGAGCAUCUCUCUUCAGAGUUAUGUCGCUUUACUUGCUUGCAACAGGUCUUACAUCUAUGUGUAAAAUUCAUAACCCCAAACUGCUACUGAAGAGCUGUGAAAUGCCUGAGUGCAGCCAAUGUGCAGAAUGAUGCAUCAGACGAUCCUGGAUUAGUGGGAGCUUGUGCACACAAUGCCAGGUGGAAAGGCAGGCUCUCCGACUCGGUGCGGGAUGCAGAGAAAGGGCAGGAGAACAAAGCGGUUUCUUGUCCGUGGCUACUGCAAAGCUGCAGUGAGGUCAGUAACAAGCAUUUGUGGCGCAAUGCUAUCACAAAAGAAAUCUUCCAAAGAAAUCAUAAGACCGUGCCAGGAAAAUUGAAAAUCAUGCACUCCAGGCCUUGGAGAGAAUGGCAGAGGAGGGCAGCUUGCUCCAGGUUUGCCUCACACCCUGUUCCUUUUGGACAGCUUGUAUAUGCUGUUGCUAGUAACACAAUGGCAAAGGCAUUGUGUAUGGAUGUGGCCUCCAAGUAUAGGAUGUGGUAACUCUGUUAUUGGGAGCAGCUGUUGAAGAG